rnacentral:rRNA from 1 species
GAGCGGCGGACGGGUGAGCAAUGCUUGGGAAUCUGCCCAUCAGUGGGGGACAACCCGGGGAAACUCGGGCUACUACCGCAUACGUUUCGGAAGAAAGCAGGGGAUCGCAAGACCUUGCGCUGAUGGAUGAGCCCAAGCCGGAUUAGCUAGUUGGUGAGGUAACGGCUCACCAAGGCGACGAUCCGUAGCUGGUCUGAGAGGACGACCAGCCACACCGGAACUGAGACACGGUCCGGACUCCUACGGGAGGCAGCAGUGGGGAAUAUUGGACAAUGGGGGCAACCCUGAUCCAGCGACGCCGCGUGGGUGAAGAAGGCCUGCGGGUUGUAAAGCCCUUUCGUUGGGAAAGAAAAGUUCCGACCUAAUACGUCGGGACCUUGACGUUACCCAAAGAAGAAGCACCGGCUAACUCUGUGCCAGCAGCCGCGGUAAUACAGAGGGUGCGAGCGUUAAUCGGAAUUACUGGGCGUAAAGCGCACGUAGAUGGCUUUGUAAGUCGGAUGUGAAAUCCCCGGGCUCAACCUGGGAACUGCAUUCGAAACUGCAUUGCUCGAGUGUGGAAGAGGGAAGCGGAAUUCCAGGUGUAGCGGUGAAAUGCGUAGAUAUCUGGAGGAACAUCAGUGGCGAAGGCGGCUUCCUGGUCCAACAC